rnacentral:rRNA from 1 species
UACAGAGGUCCCGAGCGUUGUUCGGAUUCACUGGGCGUAAAGGGUGCGUAGGUGGCAUGGUAAGUUUGAUGUGAAAGCUCAGGGCUUAACCCUGAAAUGGCAUUGAAUACUACUGUGCUGGAGGUUUGGAGGGGGGACUGGAAUUCUUGGUGUAGCAGUGAAAUGCGUAGAUAUCAAGAGGAACACCAGUGGCGAAGGCGAGUCCCUGGACAACACCUGACACUGAGGCACGAAAGCCAGGGGAGCAAACGGG